rfam:Triticum aestivum genome assembly, contig: Triticum_aestivum_CS42_TGACv1_scaffold_622780_7DS
GUAAUACUCCCUCCAUCACAAAAUUCUCGUCUUAGACUUGUGAAGAUACGGAUGCACCUAAUACUAAAACGUGACUUGAUACAUCUAUAUUUAGAAAAAAUCUAAGACAAGAAUUUUGGGACGGAGGGAGUAUGAU